AGUGUUUGGAGAACGUUGAGGGUAACCACAGUCAUCCCUCCGUCUGAUUCCUCAUGAGCAGUUUGAAAUUUGUCUCACAAAACUAAUGAAUUAACUGAACUCCAUUUAGUGUAUGAGUCUUGGAAGAUGGAAGACGGUCCUGAGAGCGAGCCCAGCACGACUAUAAGAUUUGUCUCAAACUAUGGUGCAGUAUUUUCUAAAGAUGACGUGAUCUUACCAGAUGACCAGUGCAGUCUGGUGGUGGUUGCUGCUAAAUAUGGGUUGAUUUUUGUUGGUUGUGGAACAGUUUUUAAAGUAUUUGAAUCCAGAACAGUGGUUGAGGAUAAAGAGAAGAAUCCUUUGGCCACCAUAAACAUUGGUGCUGCUGUCACCCAUGUUACUUGUAGCUGUGAUGGCCUCACACUCAUGGUUGUCAUCCUUCACAAUAAUGUUCCGCAUGCCCUCUUUUAUGAGAUCCGCAACUUUGUGCCAGGUUGUGGAGAUCAAAUGCCUUUCGUCAGUACAACACUGAGUUCAGUCAGUGGAGCCCGGGUGCAAGGACUUGCGUGGAACCCUGUUGACCCUUCAAGUAUUGCUUUAGCAGCAUCUCCAAGCUCACUCUCAAUCAUCACACUUAAAGAAAGUGAAGUAAGCAUUCACUCAAAAGAAAUUCAAGCACGAGCUGUAGGAUGGUCUCCAAAGGGAAAGCAGUUAACAGUUGGUUUAGCUGAUGGAACCUUGGCAUUAUUUAAACCGGAUUUGACAGCUGUGCGAAAUGUAUCGAGGCCUCCUAUGGACGAUGUUGGCUCAGUGCUAAGUGUAACUUGGUUUACCAACACCGAAUUCUUCAUCAGCUAUAGGAUAGUGUCCGAGGAGGGUGCACAUGUUAUGAUGUACGUAAACGCCCCUAAAGCAAAAGAGUCAAGAUUUGUUAUUUAUGAAUACUUGUGCAACUACAACCAAGGUCCACGACCAGCUAUGUUUUAUUCAAAUUUCUUCGCAGAAUGGAGCCUUAUGUGUGUGUUGUCAUCACGAGCCAACCAGUUAGGAGUCUUGGGCCACCCUGAAAGUGGUGGUGAAAAUUGGUGUGAAUAUGAAAUUGAAGAAGGUGGGAGAGCUGAAGUUCACUCUGUCUCUGUAACUGAAGAAACAUUUCCUUUAGGCUUGGCAGUGGACUUCACAUCACAGAAGAUUUUUAUUAAUAAAGAUGAAACCACCUUUGGUCCUUGUCCUGUAAUCUUCACCUUGUCAACUGGAGGAGAGCUUAACAUGUUCCAUGUGGUUAAUGCCAGACCAGAUGCUCCAGCCCUAACCUGCCCCUUGGAGAGUCUCCCUAAUAAUGGGCAUCGCUCUCCACAGCAGUAUGGGGGAGUUGCCAGUUACGUUGCUCCUGCAGUUUUGAACAUCCCAAAAGUUGAUAUCAGUACACCCUCAAACAUACCAGGAUUAACAGUUAAUAUACCUAAAAUGACUAUAGAACAUGGAGCAUUAACUGGAGGAGCAUUUCCUGUUACAUCAAGUUUAUUUGAUAGUUCCACGCCAGAACAGCAUGCUGGGGCAGGAAUGGGACCAAAAUUGACAUCAUUUCCUCAGCAGACAUCUGAUAAUAUAAAGUCAAACUUUUCAUUUGCCAAGACAUCAUCUGGAAUUUUUGACUCUAGUACCCCCGUCACAGGAUCUUCUGGGAGUACAAGUUCAUUCUUUGGAACUGCAAAACCUCCAUCUUCACCUUCUAAAGUUUUAUCUUCCUUCAUGUCUCCUUCAUCUACAUCAAGUGUUGCAAUGUCCAAUGCUGAAAUUUCAUCUGCAUCACCAUUUAGUAUUGAAAGAAAAGCUGAAGGUGCCAAAACUUCUCAUGCUGGAAACAGUGGUCAGCAAACAUCAGCAAAUACUGCUGGACAAGGAUUGAAGUUUCCAUCUUUUCAGCUGCCACAAGCAAGUACUGUAGCCGGGAGCAUUAUUCAGGGUAAACCAGCUCUUUCCCCAGUCAGCUGUACUCCCAUCAAUGCUAAAAAAUCUCCAGUCACCUCUGACAUUACAAAGCAAGCCGAAACACAGAGUAGCAGCAGAUUCCCAUGUCCGGCACCUGGCCAAGCAUUACUUGCAGGGAAGGAAAUGGAUUCAUGUCUCAUAUCAACAAUUGAAGUUGCAUCAGCUCAGUUUGAGGAAGAACUUCAUGAUCAUGUAAACCAAAGAGAGUCCAGCAAUGAGAUUGGCACAAAGCAAGAGAUGGGAAAUAUUCGGCGGUCUCUAAUUGAAGAAAUGGAAUGGAUCAAUCAGAUGUCAUCUACCACAACUGAGCUGAAAGGGGAGGUAUCCCAGUUGCAUUCAGAUGUCUUGGAGGGCUACACACUGCUGGAGGAAGCCGAAGCACAACUCAGCAAAAGUAAAAAUCCACGGCACUACUUGUCCCUUCAGUCACGACCUCUUGACCCACGUAGUCGCAAGAAACUGGAGGAAGUACGCUCUUUAUAUCAGUAUCUUCAGAGUCAAUUGGGCGAGGUGGACAUUAGACUUCAUCUUGAUUGGGCUGCCUUCACAAAUACCACAAACAAAAAAAAACAUGAAUUACCAGCAUCGGAAACGCUGUACCAAGCCCUACGAAAGUGCCACAGUCUACGAAUGGUAUGUGAGAAGCAAGUAGAUGCUCUUUGUGACCGACUAAAAACCCUCCAACUCAGUUUUCUCAAGUUUGGGUUUGCACCAUCUCAUCGGCAGUACGAAGAUGAUGAUGCUCUGGCUAUCCUUGAGAGAACUCUUCGAGAGACUACACUGUCUCCAAAUCCUCAUCUCUCACCACUCAAAAUGCUGCCUCCUAAGAAGCAGAACAAGUUGCAGAAGGUUCUUGCUCAAAGAAGCACCAUUCCACUAAGGAAAUGCUCGGAUAUCCCGAAGUUGGAUCUUGCUUCACAUGAAAGUCUCUCCUCUUCUUUUAGUCAAAAUGGAUCACCGGAUACAUCUGCAGUACAUCAAAAACCGUCAUCACGCGCUUCUAAUUUAGAAAAUUCCAUGUCUACAUCCUUUGGACCACGGACAUUCUCUACUCCAAAUCGAAUUAGCAACUUGUCUCGUACAAAUGAUGGAUUUGAAACACGUAAACUGGCAGUUCCUGGAAGAACUAAUAUAAAUGCAUCUUCAAUAAGUCAGAUAUCAAAUCAGCUUCUACCAUUAUCCCAACUUGGUGAUAAUCGAUCUUCUACUUCCAUUACAGCUUCAAAAAAUAAUUCAUUUUCUGCAGUAUCAGUAUCUUCAGGAAACAGAACAACCGGUUUUGCUCUUAAUAUUCCAACUGCCUCUAGCACGAAAUUAAUUGGAACAGAAUGUGUUGUCAAGCCUCAGUAUGAAGAUAUAACUCCACCACAAACCCCAGAUAAUAAAGUUGAAACUGGAAUGAAAGCUGCAAGCCCAUUAUUGGCAUUGUCAUCUUUGGUAUCAAAAGUGCCCACCACUACAGCUGUAGAUGCAACCCCUCCGAGUUCUGCAUCACUCUCUGAUGCAAAGCCCAUGUUUGGUGGUACAUUUAGUGUAAACCAAACUUCUGAUGUAGCUAAAAGCCAGACAGAUGUCACAGUCUCUGCGACGGCCUUCUCUCAUAAACCUUUGUCUGUUACUUUAUUAAAACCUUCUCUAACGCCUUCAGUUCCAUUUUCUUUUGUACCUUUUUCUCCGCCAAGCACUGCCUUCUCUACUACUCCAGAAACAAACUCUUCUGAUAAAGUACAAGGUGUGUCUUCCUCUGCAAGUUUUCUCUUCAAACUGCCUUCAACGACAGUUGAAUCUAAUAGUACAUCAACAGUAUCGGUAGAUCCUGAAGCAUCUCGUGCAAGUGUGACUUCAAGCUCUCUCUUUUCUUUCAAAUCUAAAAGUCUUAGCACUUCAACUAAUAACACAUCAUUUACUUUCAAAUCAUCCACACUUCCCAGCAAUACUUCUGUAACAACCACAAACUCUGAAGGAUCACUACCAAGGAAUUCUUCUAUUUCAGCAAUGUUGUCAAGGCCGAGCAAUCUUUUUGGCGGUGUGAUUUCUGGAACAGUUGAUGGUGAUUCUAAUUCUUCCCCAGUUGUCACCACCAUACCAUUUACUACCCACGGUUCAUUGCCAACCACCACCACUGGCUUGUUUUCUAUUAGCUCUGUAACUUCACCUACUACUGAAUCGGACACGGUCUCAAAUACAGUUGUAGCAGAUAAUGCUGCAUUUUCAGGAGGGUCUAAUUCUUCUGGACAGGAAACAUCACCUCAAAGUAAACUUGAAAAGCAGCUAGCACCUAGUAUAUUUACACCCAUUCCCAUGGUAUCGACAUCUGCAACUGGCAAUGAUAUACCUGAAAAGAACCAAGAAUCAGAUUCAUCUAGUUUGUUUGGAAAUGGCACACCCAUGACUUCAAAACACUUCUCACUGCCCACAUCAUCUACUGGUAGCCUAUUCGGAGGAUCAAGUACAUCAGGGAGUUUGUUUGGAGAAAUAUCUGCAGCCUCUAGAAAUAUUUUUGGAACUUCAACUGCUGCUGCUACAACUAUUACUACUACAGUAGCAGCAACUAUUAGUAAUUCCACUAAUACAACAAUGUCAUCAGCUGGCAGUAUUUUUGGAGGUAUAACUACAUCAUCUAACAGUAUCUUUGGUAAUGCACUAGGAACCUCUAAAGGAAGCAUUUUUGGGGGUAUAACUUCAACUACUGCUGCUAGUACAUGUACAGCUACAUCCAGUAGUAGUACAUCUGCCUUAGCAACAUCAAGUGGAAGCCUAUUUGGUUCACCAUUGACACUAGGUAGUGGUCCAAGCACAAGUUCUACAACAACCACUGGUAGCAUGUUUGCCAGCUCGUUGACAACUGCAUCGUCCACAGGCAGUCUCUUUGCUGCACCAGUUUCUACUGGAUCUGGUGGAACAUUUGGACAGCCAUCUGUUUUUGGGGCCAUAACGACAUCCAGUUCAGGCUCGGCAUUUAGUUCUUUGAAUUCUGCUAGCAGUGGUUUUAGUGGGAAUGUUGCUACAACACCAACAGGGAAUUCACCUUUUGGACAGACGUCUUCACAGGGUUCAUCCUCUGCAUUUGGUCAAAAUACUCAGAGCUCUUCAGGAUCAUUAUUUGCAAUGCCAUCUGCAACAGGAUCAGUGUUUGGGGGCACAGGCCAAAGUGGUUCUGUCUUUGGUAGCUCCACAUCCCAAGGAGGAGGAAUAUUUGGUGGGACACCUGCAGUGUCUUCUGGAUCAUCAUUAUUUGGGCAGUCCACCAUAAAUUCGGGAAGCAGUAGUGGAAGUGGCGGAUCAGUAUUUGGCCAGAGCUCGGCAGCAAAUGCUUCUCCUUUUUCCACAACCAGCACACCAAAGCCUGAGUCUACACCAUUUGGAUCCUCAACAGGAUUUGGGACAGGUACUGACAGUGGAGGAGGCUUCUUUAGUGGACUUGGCAGUAAACCAAGUGAAGAUAGUGCCAACAAAAAUGUGUUUGGUUCUACAUCUUUUUCUGCCAUUAAACCCCAAUCUAGUUUGUUUGGAGGUUCAGGUACAUCCAGUAGUCUGUUUGGAGGCAGUGUUUUUGGAGGCGAUGCUAGCAGUGGAGGCGGCAGCAGUUUCACUUCUGCUGCAGGCCAAGUUGGCCAAAGUGGAUUUAGUGCAACAUCACCUCAGAGCUCAUCAGGUUUUGGAAGUAGUUCAGGUUUUGGCAGUCCUGCAACGUUUGGGGGUGCACCAGCAUUUGGUUCGCCUCCAAAGUUUGGAAGCCCUCCAACGUUUGGUGGUACAGCUACUUUUGGAUCUCCUCUAUCGGGAAAUGCUGGUGGGGGUUUUAGCAGCUUUGCCUCAACAGGGGCUUCAACAUUUGGAUCAGUGGCUAGUUCAUCGCCAGCAACCAGUACAGGUUUUGCAAGCUUCACCGCUCAAACCAAUACAGCAUCUUUUGGAGGGCUAGCUCAGUCUGCAAACCAACAACAACAAGGAAGUGCAUUUGGUUCUACUGGAAAUGCUUUUGGAAGAUACCGAGAUGAAACAGUAUGAGUAACUGUAUGUGACAAAAUGAGUAGAGGCAGCAAAUGCAACAUGUUACAUUAAUUGUAUCAAAGGAUUGGGAGUAGCUUCUCUUCCUGGCGUUGAGUACAUAAGGACAAGGACACUUCUGCAGCGAAAUUGUAACGCCCUUUAUUUAAAUAUUCAAUAUCUUUCAUGUUAUAUUUAUUUACACAAGAAACAAUAAGAUGAAAUGCAAAUAUGUAAUGUUUUUAUCUCAAGUUUGUCUGCUGUAAGGAAUAUAAGAUUUCUGUAGCAUUGUAUUCAUGAUUAUAGCUUUUAUUUUGAGUUUUACACUUAAAAAUUGCAAUAUUUUGUAAACUAAAGGAGCUUUUUUAUUAAAAUAAAGAAAAAUUCAGUACAGUAUAUGAAAUAUGCUGGCUAUA